rnacentral:rRNA from 1 species
ACGCUCGACACCUACGGGAGAGAGCAGUGGGGAAUAUUGCACAAUGGGGGAAACCCUGAUGCAGCGACGCCGCGUGGAGGAAGAAGGUCUUCGGAUUGUAAACUCCUGUUGUUGGGGAAAAAGAGGAUGGUACCCAACAAGGAAGUGACGGCUAACUACGUGCCGGCAGCCGCGGUAAUCUGAGCGGGCUGGCAAGGC